rnacentral:sRNA from 1 species
UCGAAUGAGACGGUGUGAUAUCCACGGAU